rnacentral:rRNA from 1 species
UACGAAGGGGGCUAGCGUUGUUCGGCUUUACUGGGCGUAAAGCGCACGUAGGCGGAUUGUUAAGUCAGGGGUGAAAUCCCGGAGCUCAACUCCGGAACUGCCUUUGAUACUGGCAAUCUUGAGGCUGGAAGAGGUUAGUGGAAUUCCCAGUGUAGAGGUGAAAUUCGUAGAUAUUGGGAAGAACACCAGUGGCGAAGGCGGCUAACUGGUCCAGAUCUGACGCUGAGGUGCGAAAGCGUGGGGAGCAAACAGG